CUGCCGUAUCUGACCCGUGUCUGGUUUUAAUACAGUGACAGGGUGCAUGAGAAGGUGACUGCUACGUUCAGAAAUGUGGGAAGCAUUUGCAGCGAGGAGUGAAACCCUGCCAAGACAAUAACUGGGAACGGCUUUAUUUCCAGCAGCCUGUGGAGGGUCACAGCACAAAUCCGUGAGGUCAGGCUUUUCCAGGAUAAAGGAGAUUCAAAUCAAUGAUGUCCCAGCCAGGAUGUAAGGAGAAGGCUGCAAUCUCAUGUUCUGGACCACACAUGAACCAGUCAGGAUUUAGGAACUGCAUUCCUCAACCACAACCAAGGAUCUGGAGCAUGAUGUCCUGAUGAAAAAAUUAUGUUUCCUGAUCAGCACAUGCUUAUUCGUGAAAUUCAUUCCUUCUGUUGUUUAGAAGACAAGAUGAAGUUUGACUGCAAGCUCAGUAAUAUGGUUGGUGACACAUCAUCCAUGUCACAGAAGUCACUAAAAACACCGUUUCUACCACAAGAAUUCACCAUGAAGUAAUGUAUGUUCUCCAGGGUUUUUGUUCAUACUACACUUUACCGCAUAAUGCAGGUUUUUUAUUCAUUAGAUAAUAGAUACUUCAGGUAAUGAAAAUUCAUUCUGUGUAGCAGCAAUACCAAGAAGUGGCUUCUUAUAACUGUUCAAGGGCUCAAAAGUGGAUACUUGUAUGCUUUCAUGUUUGAUUCUUGUUCCACAUCACUUCAGAAGCAUAAUUUUUGUUGACAGAAAAUUGGCCAGGCUUAAUAAAGCAAGGUAUUUCUAUAUCAGCUUCUGGGUUCUUUCUAAUGCGUUGUCAUUUUAGAAGCUAAUUGACUUCAUAGGCAAGAUACUUUGGGACCAAAUUUUCAAAGGCUUAUGUUUCUGUGAAAAGAUAAUCCAUAGGAAACUUUUUUUUUUUUUUUUUUUUUAAUACUAGCAAAGAUUAAUCUAUCUUACUUCCCAGCUCUGCAAGAGUUAGAGCACCACUGCAUAUUAU